rnacentral:lncRNA from 1 species
GGUAUUUAAUAUUCAUAAGCCUAAACGCAAGUGAAGUCGAACAGUAGUACCUAGGUGCAGUCAGCUUACUACGUAGAGCAAGAAUUGGACCAAACUUUCAUUUGGAGGGAGAAUGCUGUGAUCUUGAUGUAAGAAAGGCGGGGUGCUCGUAAGAAGAGACCCCAGGAUGCCAAUGCAGUGUUCU